AGCUCCAAUAGUAUAUAUUAGUGUUGUUGCAGUUAAAACGCUCGUAGUUGGAUUUUGGGACGGUUCGUGGGGUCCGCCGAAAGGUGUGUACACCAUGGAUGGUUCUUCCUUCUGAAGAGGCGGUAUGCUCUUCAUUGAGUGUGCCGGUUGAUUCAGGAAAUUUACUUUGAAUAAAUAAGAGUGUUCAAAGCAGGCUUACGCUUGAAUACAUUAGCAUGGAAUAAUAGAAUAGGACUUUGGUUCUAUUUUGUUGGUUUCUAGGACCGAAGUAAUGAUUAAUAGGGAUAGUUGGGGGCAUUAGUAUUUAAUUGUCAGAGGUGAAAUUCUUGGAUUUAUGAAAGACUAACUUCUGCGAAAGCAUUUGCCUAGGAUGUUUUCAUUA
rnacentral:rRNA from 1 species